GUGCCAGCUGCCGCGGUAAUACCGGCAGCCCGAGUGAUGGCCGAUAUUAUUGGGCCUAAAGCGUCCGUAGCUGGCCGACCAAGUCUCCCGGGAAAUCCACCCGCCCAACGGGUGGGCGUCCGGUAGAAACUGGCCGGCUUGGAACCGGAAGGCUCAGAGAGUACGUCCGGGAUAGGAGUGAAAUCCCGUAAUCCCGGACGGACUACCGAUGGCGAAAGCACUCUGAGGAGACGGCUUCGACAGUGAGGGACGAAAGCUCGGGUCUCAAACCGGAUUAGAAACUAGUGUCC
rnacentral:rRNA from 1 species